rnacentral:rRNA from 1 species
UACGGGGGGAGCAAGCGUUGUUCGGAUUUACUGGGCGUAAAGGGCGCGUAGGCGGCCACCGCAAGUCGACUGUGAAAUCUCCGGGCUUAACCCGGAAAGGUCAGCCGAUACUGCGGGGCUAGAGUGCAGAAGGGGCAACUGGAAUUCUCGGUGUAGCGGUGAAAUGCGUAGAUAUCGAGAGGAACACCUGCGGCGAAGGCGGCCAUCUGGACGACGACUGACGCUGAGACGCGAAAGCGUGGGUAGCAAACAGG